CAGGGAUUGCUGACAUUCAGGGAUGUGGCCAUAGAAUUUUCUCGGAAAGAGUUGGGGUGCCUGAACCACAGUCAGUGGGAACUGUACAGGGAUGUGAUGUUAGAGAACUACGGACACCUCCUUUUCUUG
rnacentral:lncRNA from 1 species